CCGUGCCCAAGAGAUCGGGAUAACACCUGGAAACAGAUGCUAAUACCGGAUAACAACAGAUGAUGCCUAUCAACUGUUUAAAAGAUGGUUCUGCUAUCACUCUUGGAUGGACCUGCGGUGCAUUAGCUAGUUGGUAGGGUAACGGCCUACCAAGGCGAUGAUGCAUAGCCGAGUUGAGAGACUGAUCGGCCACAUUGGGACUGAGACACGGCCCAAACUCCUACGGGAGGCAGCAGAG
rnacentral:rRNA from 1 species